CAACCCCUACGGGGCGCAGCAGUGGGGAAUAUUGCACAAUGGGGGAAACCCUGAUGCAGCGACGCCGCGUGAGCGAUGAAGUAUUUCGGUAUGUAAAGCUCUAUCAGCAGGGAAGAAAGAAAUGACGGUACCUGACUAAGAAGCCCCGGCUAACUACGUGCCAGCAGCCGCGGUAAUACGUAGGGGGCAAGCGUUAUCCGGAUUUACUGGGUGUAAAGGGAGCGUAGACGGCGAUGCAAGUCUGAAGUGAAAGGCGGGGGCCCAACCCCCGGACUGCUUUGGAAACUGUAUGGCUGGAG
rnacentral:rRNA from 1 species